CAGGAAUAUUCAUAUGCAAUGAUAUGUUUAAUGAGAAAAGGAAAAGAAAAAUACCUCUCUGCUAUUUAGCUCAAGUCCCAAGCAGAAAAGAAAAACCCAGCAAAAAAUGAUGUCUACAAAGUUUUUCCUUCACCAGCCUAAAUCACCAUCAGACAAAUCUAUGAACAUGCAUCACCGCCCUACGUGAUUUAGGACUCCAGGGGACACCACAGAAGAAGCAACUGCUUGGACAAAAGCGAACGGGACACUUUUGGAAGAGGAAGCUUCGGGUCUUUGCCGGACGGCGUCCGGUCCUCACAAAGAAGCCUGCCUUAGGAGAGGGAGUGAGGAGCUGAGGGUUUCUAGCUGGAAUGACAGGCCGAUGGUUAAAGUAAACUCUUCAACAAUCCACUGAGUUUUGUACCCGCUCCAGGUCGUUAAGUCACACUUAUUUGGGGCAGAAAUUAAUUUCUCACUAUAUUUAGUGAGGCAGCACCAGCAUUAUAAUCACAUUACUAAUAAUUGUACCGGUUCCAGGUACUUGACUGACAUUCCUCAUUCAUUUUGUUGUCCUGCUCAGAAGACAGACAGCCAAGAUUAUCAGGACCUUCAUACAAAUGGGAAAAUAACAAGAACGUCCUUUUAAAAGUCAGGGUUUACCAGUGGAAUUGUGCGUUGGCGAAGGGGGGUUAGGGGAACAUGAAAUAUGUAAGUAGGGGAAAA